UGCUAUAAAUAUCUACAAGUGUUGUAGCCCAACAUAACUUCUCAUUGAUGGAAGUUCUAUCUUCUCUCAUUUAAUAAUUGUAAUUGUGCCUUCUCCUGGAAUAGAAACAUCAUUCGCAGAUGGUUGCAGAUUCUUUUUUCUUUUAGGAUGAUUUGAAAUAUUUUCUUAUUUUCAUCUUUAUUAAUGAUUCGAUCUCCUUUGGAAUAAAAAGUAAAAGCACCAUUAAUUUGUUGGUAACCAGUAAUGUAUGUAUUUCUUACAUGAUUCUGAAAAUUGGUAGCAGAAUGUGGACAAUGCCUGAAGCAAAAGAUAUCAUCAGGACAACUGGGACUGGAGAAAAUAAGAUGAAGCUUGUUUCUAGCGAUUGCAAUUCACGAAUUAUGACUGAAAUGCAAGAGCCUAAGAGCAUCAUAGGAAAAGCUCCCAAGACCCAUACUACUAUACAGUAAGUACAGUUUCAUUAUCUAUAGAGGAAAUUCUCAUUUGUGCAUGCUAGGUAGCAAUAAAGUUCGAGCAUAGAAGCAGUAAAGGCUGAAAUUAUGGACCACCUUAUGAGUGGCAAGUAUACAAGUAAGCAUUCUUAUGCUUGUUUCCUGAAUUAUGGUUGGUAGCCUAAUAACAGAACUUAUGUGAUGUACAUUCAUUUAUGCAAUACCCUUGGCUUUUCUUCAUGGGGUACCUCGUGUUUAUUACAAGGGUCGCCAAGGGGACUAUUAUGUCAUGGUGAUGGAUAUGUUGGGAGUCUAUGGGAUGUUUGGUAUGGGAUGUUUGGAAUAAUAACUCCUAUGCA